rnacentral:rRNA from 1 species
ACGAAGGGGGCUAGCGUUGUUCGGAAUUACUGGGCGUAAAGCGUGCGCAGGCGGUUGUGCAAGACAGGUGUGAAAUCCCCGGGCUUAACCUGGGAACUGCGCUUGUGACUGCACAACUAGAGUACGGCAGAGGGGGGUGGAAUUCCUGGUGUAGCAGUGAAAUGCGUAGAUAUCAGGAGGAACACCGAUGGCGAAGGCAGCCCCCUGGGCCUGUACUGACGCUCAUGCACGAAAGCGUGGGGAGCAAACAGGA